ensembl:snRNA U6 U6 spliceosomal RNA
GUGCUCGAGUGGGCAGCACAAAUACUCAAAUUAGAACCACACAAAGAUUAGCAUGGCCCCCGUGCCAGGAUGACAUGCAAAUUGGUGAAGCAAUCCACAUGUUC